rnacentral:lncRNA from 1 species
GCUGCGGGUGCAAAUGUCCUCACUGAGGGUGUCCACCGUGGGAUAAUGCAGACCGGAUGGCAGAUGCUGUGAGUUCUGGAGCAGUAGCAGCGUCCUGCAGUGUUGUGAUGGGUUACACUGUGUGUUAUGGGCCGGCCGGCUGUGAGCUGCAGGAGCUCUCUGGAAAAUGGGUCCAUACAUGGAUGGGCAAAUCGGAGCAGCCCCGUGCCAGGCUGGCAGGGGAGCUCAGCGAUGUCCCCAGGCAGGUCCCCUUCAUUCCAGGAGACCGGGUGGCUGUUGGCAGCCAGAUAGGGACAUUCCUGCUGUUGGUCCUCCUCCCUCAGGCUGUUGCACAGGCAGGCCUCUGCUCACCACUGGCAGUGGUGCUCAGUGCUUUAUAAGUGGUUCAGGGGCUGCCAACCCAGGGUCUCCCGAGCCCAUACCCUGCCAGCCGGGGCGUGCUCCUGCCUUGCCAGCACUCACAUUUCACCCCGCUGUCCUUCCUGCCACAGGUAAGGGGAGCCCAGGGACAAGCAGGAGGUCUGGGGAGCCCCGCUGAGACCCAGCAGCCAGGGCUCUGCAAAGAGGACCCGUGGGGUAACAUCCACAACCACCUUCAGUUGGUGGCGACCGCAGCUCUGCUGGCAGCUCUGAUCCCAGCACAUCACUGGCAAAGCACUGGGGAACUUCUGAACCCCUGCGGGCACACAGGGAACGGAGCUGUAUCUGUGGGUGCUGCCCGCGCUCCGUGUCCCUCUGCGACGUGCUAAUAAGGGGGUGAAUUGCAGCCAAUAAGGGGGUGAAUUGCAGGGCUGCAUCGCGGGCAGAACCCUCCGCGGGCAUCCAUCCUUUCAGAGCUAUCGUCUGCGCAGAGAUGUCGGGGCGCUUCACCUCCCGGCGAUCGAACAGAGAGUUGGACAGCAGAGUUUGGGCGUUGCACCGCCACCCAACCACGCUCCAGAAGGCCGAGAAGGGCGAUGUCAGCAGCUCCGUGCUCCGGAGGGCAGCGGCACUCCCGGCCCGGGGCCGCUCAGCGCUGGCGCUGCAGGGGGAGCUCUCGCAGUGCCGCAGCCGCAGCUCCGUGCGCUCCCAGGCGGCCCCGCCGAGCAGCAGCAGCUCUACACCGCUCCGCUCUCCUCGGCUUCCCAGCGGACGCAGGGCAGGACGAGGGGGGCUGACAUCCCGUGGUUUCGCACCUCCUUGCGUCCGUUCCGCCCGCGGUGUUUUCUUUCCUAGCGAUCGGUGGGAGUUCAACUUGAGCGGGGAUCAAUUGCGCCCGUAGGGAGAGCGGGGCGGUCCGCGGGGCGCUGUGCUGGGCGUGCGGAGAGCAGAACGCACCUCCCAGCCUGCCAGCAGCUCCUGCCACGGAGCAGUGCCACGGCACGGUGUGCCAGCCGGCCACGGGAGAACGGAGGCGCUCAGAGAGGCGGUGGUGCCCCAUCCCUUCAUCCAGCCAAGGUCAGGGGACAGCACUCUGAGCACUGAUGGAGCUGUGGGUGUCCCUGUGCGCUGCAGGGGGGUUGGACCAGAUGGCCUCUAAGGGUCCCUUCCAACUCCAAUGAUUCUAUGGUGAUAUGACCAACCCCUGUGCCAGACUUGGUGCUGGGUGGGACAGAGCGAGCGCACAGCUCCGGGGGCACAAACCUCGUGGGCACAGCAGGGUGAGGAGUGUGCAGGCCCUCCCCUCUGGCUAUGGGAGGAACACGUGAAGAAAUGAAGGAAUUAGCAGUUACUUUUCCAUCAGAGAUGCUUUUUAGUUCUACAUCCGUCCCUCGUAGGGGCCAUUCUGAUGUAAAUAGGAAGACCGUAUGCCCUUAGGAACGAAGUGCUUGGCUUAGGAUGCAUAGAAGAGAUAAAGGACAGUGGGUAAAUUGGAGGGAUGCUAAAUGAAAUAUAGAAAUACCAUCGGAGACAGCUCCGGGAUGAAAGAAACGCUGUGAGCUCAUGGGGGUGAAAAAGAAGAAAACAGAUAUCAAGCAAUGAUAAAGCAGCAACCCCACUCUAUUCCUCCGUUACCAGAAGUGAAUUGCAGCGCUGAGCAAAUCCAUGUUUUACUGCACACUCUGCUGCUGCGUCAGGAGGAGCCUUCCUUCCUCUUCAGCUUGCUGCCUUUCUGCGUUCUAAAGGGGGAAAAAAAACAAGUCCAGGCUUUUUAGCACCGUGGUGAAAAUUCACACCUCCCCUGAGACGAUAUUUCAGCUUCUUCUGCUUUUUUUUUUUUUCCCUUCCUGCCACCAUUCCUGAUGUCUCUGAGCUGCACUGAACACGAGCUUUAAGUGCGGAUGUCCCCCUGAGGAGCUCUCCCACCCAGCCUGGACCCCCACCUUGGCUAUGUGGGCUCCUUGGCAGAAUAGAUGUGCAAUUAUUCACUGUGUGAGUGGAGCUCUGCCAGCGUCAUUCAGACACCCUUUUUUUGGGGGGGGUGGCUUCUCUUGAGACGGUGUGAGACAGCGUUUGGACACACAGAGCCCACCCGAAGAGCAGCAGCCGGGCUCCGCUCCCUUUGAAUUGCUCUUAGUGCAUUACUCAGUUUUCAAUUUCCUCCCCUUCGCUAUGAACAACCUGAGCUUUAUGUUUCCCUUUUAA